UUCGUCCUACGGGACGCAGCAGUGGGGAAUAUUGCACAAUGGGGGAAACCCUGAUGCAGCGACGCCGCGUGAGUGAAGAAGUGUCUCGGUACGUAAAGCUCUAUCAGCAGGGAAGAAAAAAAGUCUUUGGCUUUGGACGGUACCUGACUAAGAAGCCCCGGCUAACUACGUGCCAGCAGCCGCGGUAAUACGUAGGGGGCAAGCGUUAUCCGGAUUUACUGGGUGUAAAGGGAGCGUAGACGGCAGCGCAAGUCUGGAGUGAAAUGCCGAGGCUCAACCCCGGAACUGCUUUGAAAACUGUGCAG
rnacentral:rRNA from 1 species